rnacentral:rRNA from 1 species
UACAGAGGUCUCAAGCGUUGUUCGGAUUCAUUGGGCGUAAAGGGUGUGUAGGUGGCGCGCUAAGUCGGGUGUGAAAUUUCGGAGCUUAACUCCGAAACUGCAUUCGAUACUGGCGUGCUUGAGGACUGGAGAGGAGACUGGAAUUUACGGUGUAGCAGUGAAAUGCGUAGAUAUCGUAAGGAGGACCAGUGGCGAAGGCGGGUCUCUGGACAGUUCCUGACACUGAGACACGAAGGCCAGGGGAGCAAACGGG